rnacentral:tRNA from 1 species
UUUAUGCUUAGCUCAGUGGUAGGGCACUCGCCUAGCAUGCGCGAGGCCCUGGGUUUGACCCCAGUACUAAAA